UACAGAGGAUGCAAGCGUUAUCCGGAAUUAUUGGGCGUAAAGCGUGUGUAGGUGGCUUUUUAAGUCCGCCGUCAAAUCCCAGGGCUCAACUCUGGACAGGCGGUGGAAACUGCCAAGCUGGAGUACGGUAGGGGCAGAGGGAAUUUCCGGUGGAGCGGUGAAAUGCGUAGAGAUCGGAAAGAACACCAACGGCGAAAGCACUCUGCUGGGCCGACACUGACACUGAGAGACGAAAGCUAGGGGAGCGAAUGGG
rnacentral:rRNA from 1 species